rnacentral:rRNA from 1 species
UACGGAGGGGCUAGCGUUGUUCGGAAUUACUGGGCGUAAAGGCGUGUAGGCGGCUUCGUGUGUCCCAUGUGAAAGCCCUCGGCUCAACCGGGAACUGCAUGGAACUGCGGAGCUUGAGUCCGGAGAGGUGAGUGGAAUUCCCAGUGUAGCGGUGAAAUGCGUAGAUAUUGGGAGGAACACCGGUGCGAAGGCGGGUCUCUGGCCGUAACUGACGCUGAGGAGCGAAGCAUGGGGAGCGAACAGG